GAUGAACGCUAGCGGCAGGCCUAACACAUGCAAGUCGAGGGGUAACUAGAGUGAUAGCAAUAUUACUUUGGCUAGACCGGCGCACGGGUGCGUAACACGUAUGCAACCUACCUUAUACUGGGGAAUAACUUCGAGAAAUCGGCGCUAAUACCCCAUAACACUGCGGAGAGGCAUCUCUUUGCAGUUAAAGCUCCGGCGGUAUAAGAUGGGCAUGCGUCCAAUUAGCUAGUUGGUGAGGUAACGGCUCACCAAGGCUACGAUUGGUAGGGGUUCUGAGAGGAUGAGCCCCCACACUGGUACUGAGACACGGACCAGACUCCGACGGGAGGCAGCAGUGAGGAAUAUUGCGCAAUGGACGAAAGUCUGACGCAGCCAUGCCGCGUGCAGGAUGACGGCCCUAUGGGUUGUAAACUGCUUUUGUACGGGAAUAAACCCUUCUACGUGUAGGAGGCUGAAGGUACCGUAAGAAUAAGCACCGGCUAACUCCGUGCCAGCCGCCGCCGUAA
rnacentral:rRNA from 1 species